AACGAACGCUGGCGGCAUGCCUAACACAUGCAAGUCGAACGAGACCUUCGGGUCUAGUGGCGCACGGGUGCGUAACGCGUGGGAACCUGCCCUUAGGUUCGGAAUAACUCCCCGAAAGGGGUGCUAAUACCGGAUAAUGUCUUCGGACCAAAGAUUUAUCUCCUUUGGAUGGGCCCGCGUUGGCUUAGCUAGUUGGUAGGGUAAAAGCCUACCAAGGCGACGAUCCAUAGCUGGUCUGAGAGGAUGAUCAGCCACACUGGGACUGAGACACGGCCCAGACUCCUACGGGAGGCAGCAGUGGGGAAUAUUGGACAAUGGGCGAAAGCCUGAUCCAGCAAUGCCGCGUGAGUGAUGAAGGCCUUAGGGUUGUAAAGCUCUUUUACCCGGGAUGAUAAUGACAGUACCGGGAGAAUAAGCUCCGGCUAACUCCGUG
rnacentral:rRNA from 1 species